ACACUUCCACUGAAGACUUUUACAGAACCUGGAGAUUUUCUGUUAGAUCAAUUUGGACAUGGUCUGCCCUCUUGUCCCAAAAGUAAAGACUCCUCAUACAUUUAUGAAAUAUACAACAAAAUUCUGGAACUCAGACAGCCAUGUCGGGGAAAAGGCAAGGAAGUUUGCCUGGAGUUGUGAAAAUAACCCAUAUUCAUACCACAUCUGUACAGUGGUGCUCCAAUAGGAAGAAUGGAGGUUUUGCUACCUGUGCGACAUACAAUCUAACAGAACCAGUGACAUAGUCAUUCUUUUUUGACUAAUGACAGAGGAAACUACCUCAAGGGAGUGAGUGAUAUCAUUACAAAACUGGAAUAAGUAACCUCAAAUGAGGACAACUGAAAUAUUUCAUCUUGCCUAAAAAAAAUGCUGGAUGAGAAAGAAAAUGUAGCAAAAUAAUGUUCAAGAUUUGCAUGAGAUCUGGACCGAAUUGAAACACUUCCACAGACUUGAACAGGAUUUGUAUUCAUCUCAUAGUCUGCUUUAAGUAAAAUAAUACAGCAUGGCAGUGAUUCCUGGGAGAGUUUCCUUUUUCAGACCUUCCACAAAUCUUCUAACAAACAGACCUACUAAGCUGUUCAAUGAUGAUAUUACACUUGUCUAAUCUAUAUUGCCUGGCCUGGAUUAGACAAUCUUACCAUUCCUAUUUCUCACUCAUUAAAGCACUCUCAGAUAACUCAGUAUAUAAUACAAUUGUGAAUUAAAUGCAGUCAGAAAUAUACUUUUUACCUAUUGUAGAAUGAAUUCCAAUUGAUAAGUAAAAUGUAAAUCUCAGGAUUGCAGCAUUUUGUCCAUCAAGAAGAAAGCUAAUUUCUCCUAUCAGAUGUGUCUGAUUGUGUCUCUCAGCUGAAACGAAGAAAGAAGUCACUCUGAACAUUUUGCUAAUAAGUAAUAUCAAUCAGGGAGGAAUAAUUACAAAGAAAUGGAAGUAAAUUAGCUUGCCUCCUGACAGCACUGAAGUGAGAAAUGAGUACAUAAGAAAGGGUAUGCAAUAGGUAUGAAGAGUGUAUUUGAGUGGAACAUGAGUGCACUUGGAAUGUAAAAGGAAAAUGAGUUCGGGGGGAAAUUUUAAGAAAUAAAAGGCUCUUUUAAGUGGUGUUCAGCAACAGGACAAGGGGCAAAAACUGCAACACUGGGAGUUCCAUAAAAAUAUGGGAAUUCUUUACUGUGAGGGUGACAGAGCACUGGAACAGGCUGCCCAGAAAGGUGUUGGAUUCUCCUUCUCUGGAGACAGGAGGCAUCUUAUCAUUUGAGAAUAAAUUACUUUUAUUUACUGCUUCUUUUUUUCUUCAGGGGAGCUUUGUUGGUUUUAGCACUUAGUCUUUGUUUCUUGGUAUGUCUGAUAUGAAGGUUACGAUCUGGGUCUUGUUUCAAAAGUUGUUAAGCAAUUUAAGAAUUUAAGAUGCAAAUGAAAUGUUAUUGAAUUCCCAGUAAAGAAUAAAUAACUUCCACAGAUCUAUAUAUGAUAUGAUUUCUUAUUCAAAUCCUCUACCUAACAUAAGCAGCUUGUUGGUUGUUAAUAGAAAAGACAGAAGAGGGAUAAUCCUUGGCCUACUGAAAUCAAUAUAUAUUUUAGCAUUGUUACGAAUUGAAUUUCUUCUGAAUUACUACUUCUCUAGGUGGAGACUGGAUUGCAAAGACCGUGGUCUGACUUCAUUUUUAAAAUGAGAGCUGGUUCUAACAUAGUAGAGUUAUUUCUCCAAAAAUAUUUUGUUGUCCUGUGUCACGGAGUUACCUAGAUAGAUCUGUGCCCGUGACAGGGGGCCGGUAGGCUUGUGGGCCCCCCUCCCCCUUCACUUCCCGAGAAAAACGAAGCGGUGGCAACAAUCUAAGAAGGAGAACUUAUUUUACUAACUAUGAUGUUGAGAUGCAAGAUGACACGAUACAAUACAAUCUAAUCGGGAGUAAGUAUAAUAAACCAAAUGGAAUGAGGGAGAGAGAGCGAAAGAGCGAUAGAGAGGGAGAGAGAGAGAGAGUGAGAGAGUUUCCGAAACCGAAAGCCUUACUUGAUGAAGGCGCCCGGCUUGGAAAGCACACCCACUCCUCUCCCGGCAGCAAGCGAAAGUGAAGAAGCACCGCGCGCAACCAGAUGACGUAUCUUCCGUGAUGUGUCUUCCUUCUCUGACCGUGAGGUCCUCUGGGAUACGUAGUUCUUCUCUUUUGUCCAUGAUGUUAUGAUGUGGAAUACCAAUAGCGAAGUUACAAAACCAUGACAUCCUGCAAAAUGUUACAUAUUAACAGAUUAAUGAAUUUCACCACAAUUGCAAAUUUUGUCCACCAUCAAGCUCUGGUUCUCUGAAAAAACAAAAUCUUCCCUCAUUCUAAAUAAACGUCACAGCUUCC
ensembl:lncRNA